AACGAACGCUGGCGGCAUGCCUAACACAUGCAAGUCGAACGAGACCUUCGGGUCUAGUGGCGCACGGGUGCGUAACGCGUGGGAACCUGCCCUUAGGUUCGGAAUAACUCCCCGAAAGGGGUGCUAAUACCGGAUAAUGUCUUCGGACCAAAGAUUUAUCGCCUUUGGAUGGGCCCGCGUUGGAUUAGCUAGUUGGUAGGGUAAAAGCCUACCAAGGCGACGAUCCAUAGCUGGUCUGAGAGGAUGAUCAGCCACACUGGGACUGAGACACGGCCCAGACUCCAACGGGAGGCAGCAGUGGGGAAUAUUGGACAAUGGGCGAAAGCCUGAUCCAGCAAUGCCGCGUGAGUGAUGAAGGCCUUAGGGUUGUAAAGCUCUUUUACCCGGGAUGAUAAUGACAGUACCGGGAGAAUAAGCGCCGGCUAACUCCGUG
rnacentral:rRNA from 1 species